rnacentral:siRNA from 1 species
CGACUUCCCUUGCCUACAUUG